UCCUGGUGGCUGUCCCUUCCCACAGGCGCCUCGUUGGUGCCAGAGUCUCCUGUCUGCGCGGUAGGUUGGCGAUUUCAGGCGGCGGGGUGCACCUGCCGAGGAGCAGCUUGAGAAAAAGUUGGAGCAGAAAAUAACCUGGAUUUCUGCAGAACAUGCGGCCGCCCUUCCCCCAGUUUAUGCUGCCCAAGGCAAAGGGAUGUGGUGCACCUAGUGGUGAAUCCUCAGAAUUGAAGAAGGGAGCAGUGGGCAGACUGUGACUUCAAGAAAAUAUGUCGUUAUCUGGAGCCCUGAAACAGAGGGCCAUAGUAAAACGAGAAUAUUCUAUCAAGAAGACCCUGAAUGUUGAAAGACGAAUCACAUGUGGACUCCCAUCAAUGAUGUUGGUCUGUCCACCAAGUGCUCAGUUGUUAUCAUAGUCUCUGGACUGUGUUUUCUUUUCAUCUGUUUGUCCCUAGGCUUACUUUAAGGCUGGUCACUUCUGCAAGGAAGGAAAGGAGGAAGACACUGGCUCAAUUCUCUACAGUUUCCUUGUCCAUGGGAUGGCCUGCUGUCUUCUCUAGGGUGUAACUGGUACCACGGGAACGAAGCAAGGAGUGGGAAAUUGCACCACAUCCAAGCAGAUCCACCUCCAGUGGCAUCUCUGGUGGAGUUGGAAUUGCUGCUGACCACCACCCUUGACAGGUCUGCACCCACCUGGAAACCACCCAUCCUCCCCCUGCUUGUUUGUGCCUCUUCUGCACUCUUGUCUGUGAUAUUGGCUGAGGCUGGUCUUGGGAAGGAAGCUGGUUGACUGCUGGACUGGUGAUUGACUCUAACUCUUAUUUACGACUCUAUCGCCUGAAUCAGCGAAAGGUCAGAGUGUGAAGAUACAC